rnacentral:rRNA from 1 species
GAGUUUGAUCCUGGCUCAGAGUGAACGCUGGCGGCGUGCCUAAUACAUGCAAGUCGAACGAUGAAUCUUCUAGCUUGCUAGAAGUGGAUUAGUGGCGCACGGGUGAGUAAUGCAUAGGUUAUGUGCCCUUUAGUCUGGGAUAGCCACUGGAAACGGUGAUUAAUACUGGAUACUCCCUACGGGGGAAAGUUUUUCGCUAAAGGAUCAGCCUAUGUCCUAUCAGCUUGUUGGUGAGGUAAUGGCUCACCAAGGCUAUGACGGGUAUCCGGCCUGAGAGGGUGAUCGGACACACUGGAACUGAGACACGGUCCAGACUCCUACGGGAGGCAGCAGUAGGGAAUAUUGCUCAAUGGGGGAAACCCUGAAGCAGCAACGCCGCGUAGAGGAUGAAGGUUUUAGGAUUGUAAACUCCUUUUGUAGAGAAGA